ACUCCAUGAUGAAUAUAUAAUGACAAGCAUAUGACUGAACUUGGAUGUGAUGUCAUCUUAAUACUGAGAAGU
rnacentral:snoRNA from 1 species